GACAGAGGGUGCAAACGUUGUUCGGAAUUACUGGGCGUAAAGCGUGUGUAGGCGGCUAUGUAAGUCGGAUGUGAAAGCCCCGGGCUCAACCUGGGAAGUGCACUCGAUACUGCGUGGCUAGAGUUUCGGAGAGGUUGGUGGAAUUCUCGGUGUAGAGGUGAAAUUCGUAGAUAUCGAGAGGAACACCGGUGGCGAAGGCGGCUCACUGGCCCGGUACUGACGCUGAGGCACGAAAGCGUGGGGAGCGAACAGG
rnacentral:rRNA from 1 species